UUAAGGAAAGCAGUUACAGUUUGUGGGGUUCUGACUCUUCUCAAAGCUUUUUAGGUAGAGACAUUUGUAGUUUUAUCUGAGAGAAUAUUGUUUGCAGUGGUUAAUUUGUAACCGAACAUACUUUUUCUGAUGUGCAAGAGAAUAAAUGUUUGACUUUGUCCUUUCAGUUUGGAAUUUCCUGUAUUGCUCCAUUGUAUCUUCCUUCAGAAUUACCAGAAUUUCCACUGCACUCUACACCACUGACUGUCCUUCGUGUGAGUCACCUCAAACUGUUGUGUUUGCUGUUAACAGUUUUUGGCAAGCACAGCAGUGUAUUAAAAAUGGUGAGGUACUGGUAUUUAGCAUUAUCCAUGUAUUUCUGCUGACCUGUUUUUUGAGUAUUUGGGUUCUAUACUCAUAGCUAAAAUAAUGUACCUAUCUAUGUGUAAGUUCAUUCCUUGUCUUGAAACUGGGGUAGUCUCAAAGGUGCCAUGUAACUGUAAAUUUUUUCUGAUUAAUGCUUUUGCAAAUGAAACUGAAACUAUGUCAACUUUUUGCCAGUUGAUAGUGAAGCUAAUUGCACCAGGUAAAUACUGCUGUGCACUCAUUAUUUUUGAGCUCUGUUUAAAUUGAGCUUUGUUCAAGUUAACACUGGUACUUCACAGUUUUGACAUGAGCUAGAAAAUCCACAAAAAUAAAAUUGUGGAAUAUAUUGCAGGUUUUGGCCAAAACAAACGCGGUGUGGUGUUGGAAGUCUGUUCUCCAUUGUUUGUGCUGCCCUGAGGACCUCCAGUGGGGUUGAACUGGUAUAAGUGGGAAAGGGCUAGCCAAGCUUUAAAUAUCUGUUAGCAGGAACUAUAUCAUGUGCACGUUCCUAUGGAAAGGAAAUUGCAAACAGAAAUAAGGCAUACAUUCUGCUUUCCACAUUUAUCUUUGAGGUGAGUAUGUCACCACUGGCAAAAAAUCAGGGCUUUCUGCCGGUGUCUGAAGUUAUGAAAGUCUGAUAACGUACAUUAUGCUAAAGGAAAACAGAUAAAACAACAUGAUCUUUAGACUUCAGGAAAUAGGCCUCCCAACUGUAAUUGAAAAUACUGCAUGUUCUUUAUUUCCACUUCCAUAUACUGUGAUAGUGCCAAUAUUUUUCCCAUGAGCAUGUCCUGAAUAGCUGGGACCAUCUGAUACAUGGAUAGGAAUGGGUAAAUACAUUUCUAUCACAUUUUUCCAUUGUUUCCACAUAAAGCAAUAUAUGGUGGGUUGAACAAGGAGUGGCUUUUUUCCUAUUGUUAAAUACUAUUUUUUACAAUAAAUUCUAAAAACUA